UACGUAGGUGGCAAGCGUUGUCCGGAUUUACUGGGCGUAAAGGAUGCGUAGGCGGACAUUUAAGUCAGAUGUGAAAUACCCGAGCUUAACUUGGGUGCUGCAUUUGAAACUGGGUGUCUAGAGUGCAGGAGAGGUAAGUGGAAUUCCUAGUGUAGCGGUGAAAUGCGUAGAGAUCGGCAGGAACACCCAGGGGGAAACCAGCUGCCUGGGCAAGCGCUGACGCUGAGGUGCGAGAGCGUGGGGAGCGAACCGG
rnacentral:rRNA from 1 species